UAAGUUGGAAGAGAGCUGCAUCUUGCCUGACCUGCUCAGUGCUCUAUUUCCCUCUCCUAGAACAACAUUAGGAACACAGUGGGAGCUCAAUAAAUAUUUGUUCAACCAAUGAAUAAAUGCUUUGCAUGUGGUUCCUGGUCUUCUUGAGAUGAGAGAUAAGCGACGACCUACAGGAAGAGUUACCCAAGAAUGCAAUGGAGGAAAUGGUGACUCUGAAAACUGAUUUGCAGCUUAUCUGAUAAACUGAUUUUUGCUGAAGUAUUGCUGGAUGACAAUAUGCUUCCCAGUGAUGCUGGCCUCUAAGGGGGCUCUAGAAAGACAAAGACACGGUCCACGUGGUGGUCUUCCCAGGACCAAAACAGAGGGCAGAUGAGGAACUGUUUGAAGAUUGGAGGUGGUUUCUUGUGGUUCCCUCUAAAUUUGUCAUGUGAAGAAACUCAAGUCUUAAGAGGUUAAGAAGCUGGUCUAAGGUCACAGGGCUGGCAAAGGACAGAGAAAGGCUCUAGAGGGUCAUUCCGGGCGCGUCCCCCUCUCUGGGCCUCAGGACGGGCUGUGUGGAGCUGGGGUUGGUUGUUCACACUGAGGCGUCUGGACAUCCUCAGGAAAUGUCAAGGGAGUUUUGCGAAAAUGUGGAACAAUGCCAUUGGACUCCUCGGGAAGAUAAAUGAGCCUGAUGAAUUAUUAAGGAGGUGAAAGAUGUCAGGGCUGAGCUGAAGGAAUCCCACGUCUCUGUGAAUAUUCAAACAAUCUGGAUCUAUUUUGGUGGAGAGAAUGUUCGUGUGUUGUGUGAAAGGAAAGCAGGGAGCUAGGAUGACGCUUUUGGUCAGGGGAGGCCUGCCUUUCUGAGCUGGAUGCAGGCUCAGAGAUGGCUGCUCCCGGCUCAGCAGCUAUUUUUAAACUUGUGAAACCCAGCCUGUCAGUGGGUGGAACAGGGCUGGAGGUGAGGUGACUGAGGCUGUCCUGGCUCCUGAGGGAGGAAAAGCCACUCUCUGGCUCUUAGUUGAUACCCCCACAUCGCUCCACUGAGCCCCCAAAAUAAAUACCUGGCAUGGUGUUCAGGGCCGAUGGAAGGGGCCCCAAGGCCAGAAGAGAAUUUAAAAAUUCACUCUGUAUCUCAUCUGAGCUCUUCCGUUGGUUUAAUACAUGCUGUGUCUGGCAGCUGAGAGAGAAUGCAUCAUAGCUCCGUAACCGCUAACCUAAAGACAAAACCCAAACACUCGGUGCGUCCUGUUGACGAGGGUUUGAAAAUGUCCAUUCAAAGGUGUGUCUUUUAGUCUCUGAGCAUGUGGGCUCUGAGUGACCCGGCGUCGUCUCUAGUUGGGGACACCCCGUGAGCUCCCCUGUUUCUGGUCUCUUGUUCCUGAGGCUGUGGUGUUCCAAGCAGAGACUGUCUGUGACCUAAGCCAACGGCAAAUCAGAAACCCAGCAGCGGCUGGACCCACAUCUCACGGACCGGAGGCCUGUGAGGAAAGUGUCGUUUCCCCUGUUUGCCUUUUUCUGUAUGAAGAGUAAGAGUAGGAGAAAGCUGAAGAGUGGCACCGUCUGGCCUCACCUCUCCCUGCCCCAGAUAUGCCCCUUGGCGCAAGGAUUAUUUUAAGCUGAAGGCAACUGAAAAGAAGCAGCAAGGAUGGAAGUUAAUCAGCGGAGACAACACCUGAACCUCAUCACCCCAGAGAAGCACCAGAGGAACUCUCCUGACAGACUUGACUAACUAGCCACCCUAGAAAUUCAAGAGAAGAAGCUCGAGGUUGGAAGAAAAAGAAGUUCUGUGGAUGAAGACAUAUGGUCUACAAGGAAAUUUGAAGCCAAGCUCCCUCGAUGUCUAAGAGAAAGCCAUCUGUGUGACCCAAAAGAACUUCUGACUACAGAAGAACUUUCAGAAUGCUGGGGGAAACCAGGAUUAGAUCAGGUACUGGCUGGUGAUGAUUGAACACGAGUCAAUUAAAUACC